GUCGAGCGGUAGCACAGAGAGCUUGCUCUCGGGUGACGAGCGGCGGACGGGUGAGUAAUGUCUGGGAAACUGCCUGAUGGAGGGGGAUAACUACUGGAAACGGUAGCUAAUACCGCAUAAYGUCGCAAGACCAAAGUGGGGGACCUUCGGGCCUCAUGCCAUCAGAUGUGCCCAGAUGGGAUUAGCUAGUAGGUGGGGUAACGGCUCACCUAGGCGACGAUCCCUAGCUGGUCUGAGAGGAUGACCAGCCACACUGGAACUGAGACACGGUCCAGACUCCUACGGGAGGCAGCAGUGGGGAAUAUUGCACAAUGGGCGCAAGCCUGAUGCAGCCAUGCCGCGUGUGUGAAGAAGGCCUUCGGGUUGUAAAGCACUUUCAGCGGGGAGGAAGGCGWUAAGGUUAAUAACCUYRKCGAUUGACGUUACCCGCAGAAGAAGCACCGGCUAACUCCGUGCCAGCAGCCGCGGUAAUACGGAGGGUGCAAGCGUUAAUCGGAAUUACUGGGCGUAAAGCGCACGCAGGCGGUCUGUCAAGUCGGAUGUGAAAUCCCCGGGCUCAACCUGGGAACUGCAUUCGAAACUGGCAGGCUAGAGUCUUGUAGAGGGGGGUAGAAUUCCAGGUGUAGCGGUGAAAUGCGUAGAGAUCUGGAGGAAUACCGGUGGCGAAGGCGGCCCCCUGGACAAAGACUGACGCUCAGGUGCGAAAGCGUGGGGAGCAAACAGGAUUAGAUACCCUGGUAGUCCACGCCGUAAACGAUGUCGAUUUGGAGGUUGUGCCCUUGAGGCGUGGCUUCCGGAGCUAACGCGUUAAAUCGACCGCCUGGGGAGUACGGCCGCAAGGUUAAAACUCAAAUGAAUUGACGGGGGCCCGCACAAGCGGUGGAGCAUGUGGUUUAAUUCGAUGCAACGCGAAGAACCUUACCUGGUCUUGACAUCCACAGAACUUUCCAGAGAUGGAUUGGUGCCUUCGGGAACUGUGAGACAGGUGCUGCAUGGCUGUCGUCAGCUCGUG
rnacentral:rRNA from 1 species